rnacentral:rRNA from 1 species
GCAAACGAUAAAUCGGGAUUACUGGGCGUAAAGCGCGCGUAGGCGGCUAGGUAAGAUGGGUGUGAAAUCCCCGGGCUCAACCUGGGAACUGCAUCCAUAACUGCCUGGCUAGAGUACAGUAGAGGGUGGUGGAAUUUCCUGUGUAGCGGUGAAAUGCGUAGAUAUAGGAAGGAACACCAGUGGCGAAGGCGACCACCUGGACUGAUACUGACGCUGAGGUGCGAAAGCGUGGGAAGCAAACAGGAUUAGAUACCCUGGUAGUCCACGCCGUAAACGAUGUCAACUAGCCGU